rnacentral:rRNA from 1 species
AUACGGAGGGUCCGAGCGUUAUCCGGAAUCAUUGGGUUUAAAGGGUCCGUAGGCGGGAAUCUAAGUCAGUGGUGAAAUCUUGCAGCUCAACUGUAAAAUUGCCAUUGAUACUGGAUUGCUUGAAUUAGUGUGAAGUGGUUAGAAUGUGUAGUGUAGCGGUGAAAUGCAUAGAUAUUACACAGAAUACCAAUUGCGAAGGCAGAUCACUAACACUAUAUUGACGCUAAGGGACGAAAGCGUGGGGAGCGAACAGGAUUAGAAACCCCGGUAGUCC